AACGAACGCUGGCGGCAUGCCUAACACAUGCAAGUAGAACGAGACCUUCGGGGCUAGUGGCGCACGGGGGCGUAACGAGUGGGAAGCUGCCCUUAGGUUCGGAAUAACUCACCGAAAGGGGAGCUAAUAACGGAUAAUGUAUUAGGACAAAAGAUUUAUCGCCUUUGGAUGGGCCCGCGUUGGAUUAGCUAGUUGGUAGAGUAAAAGCCUACCAAGGCGACGAGCCAUAGCUGGUCUGAGAGGAUGAUCAGCCACACUGCGACUGAGACACGGCCCAGACUCCUACGGGAGGCAGCAGUGGGGAAUAUUGGACAAUGGGCGAAAGCCUGAUCCAGCAAUGCCGCGUGAGUGAUGAAGGCCUUAGGGUUGUAAAUCUCUUUUACCCGGGAUGAUAAUGACAGUACCGGGAGAAUAAGCUCCGGCUAACUCCGUG
rnacentral:rRNA from 1 species